CGUAGGGUGCUAGCGUUGUUCGGAAUUACUGGGCGUAAAGCGCGCGCAGGCGGUUCUUUAAGUCAGGGGUGAAGGCCCAGAGCUCAACUCUGGAAUUGCCUUUGAAACUAGAGAACUUGGGUACGGGAGAGGUGAGUGGAAUUCCGAGCGUAGAGGUGAAAUUCGUAGAUAUUCGGAAGAACACCAGUGGCGAAGGCGGCUCACUGGCCCGUUACCGACGCUCAGGCGCGACAGCGUGGGGAGCAAACAGGAUUAGAUACCCUGGUAGCCACGCCGUAAACGAUGGAUGCUAGCCGUUGGUAAGCAUGCUUAUCAGUGGCGCAGCUAACGCAUUAAGCAUCCCGCCUGGGGAGUACGGCCGCAAGGUUG
rnacentral:rRNA from 1 species